UACGAGGGGUGCAAGCGUUGCUCGGAAUUAUUGGGCGUAAAGGGUAGGUAGGUGGUCUCAUUUGUCUGGGGUGAAAGCCUUGAGCUUAACUCAAGAAGUGCCCUAGAAACGGUGAGACUGGAGUACUGGAGAGGGUCGUGGAAUUCCCGGUGUAGCGGUGAAAUGCGUUGAUAUCCGAAGGAACGCCGGUGGCGAAAGCGACGGACUGGAUCUCUUCUGACGCUGAGGCGCGAAAGCCAGGGGAGCAAACGGG
rnacentral:rRNA from 1 species